rnacentral:hammerhead_ribozyme from 1 species
ACCCAACCGAUGAGUCCAAAAUAGGACGAAACAUGUGUCUUGAAU